AAGCGGAGGAAAAGAAACUAACAAGGAUUCCCCCAGUAACGGCGAGUGAAGUGGGAAAAGCUCAACUUUGAAAUCUGGCUGUUUUACAGUCCGAGUUGUAGUCUCGAGAAGUGUUUUCCGCGUUAAACCGUGUAUGAGUCUGUUGGAACACAGCGUCAUAGAGGGUGAGAACCCCGUUCAUGACACGGCUUUUAAUGCUUUGUGAUACACUUUCGAUGAGUCGAGUUGUUUGGGAAUGCAGCUCAAAUUGGGUGGUAAAUUCCAUCUAAAGCUAAAUAUUGGCGAGAGACCGAUAGCAAACAAGUACCGUGAGGGAAAGAUGAAAAGCACUUUGGAAAGAGAGUUAAAAGUACGUGAAAUUGUCGAAAGGGAAACGCUUGAAGUCAGACGUGCACGGGAUUUAUUCCUAUUGCAGGCCAACAUCGGUUUUACGAGCCGGAUAAAGGUACAAGGAAGGUAGCAGUUUCGGCUGUGUUAUAGCCUCGUACUGAAUACGGAUUGUGAGACCGAGGGACGCAGCGCGCCGCAAGGCAAAGGGUCCGCCCUUUUCGCGCUUAGG
rnacentral:rRNA from 1 species